rnacentral:lncRNA from 1 species
AUUUUGGAGAUUAUAUAUAUCUGCUUCUUCUUAAUAAAUAAUGACAAGACAAGGUUGUUAUUCUGAACAUGACAGUAUAUAUACAAUAUAAGGUCAUUGUCAGGAAAAUAUAUACUUUAUUGUAUGAGGCUGAGACACUGGGGAAGGGCAAGGUUCUACCGAGCUCGUCCACAGUUUUGUGCCGAGUACAAAAACGUUUCUAUUUUCAUGACAUUGACCUAAUAUUGUUUUUAUACUGCAACUUAAAUUAAUACAUUGAUAGCUUUUUAAACCGUAACACAAAUGUCAAACUUAUUUUCAUCCCUUAAUGGACCCCUGACUGUGGAGAAAGUGUUCCUUGAUGAAAUUGACAUUUACAAAAUAUAGCUGUGUUCCUAUAUUUAGGAAAUAAACACAACUAGUUGCAGUAUAAAUGAUUGUUAGUUGAAACUGUUUAAUAUUCCAGGUACAUUUUGAAUCAAAAACUAAAACUUAACAUCUUUUAAAAUCUUAUAUAAAUCUACAACCCUAUAAAAUUAGACACAAAAAAAUAUGCAACAUUCAACAGAAAUAAUACAAAUAUAACAGAUCUAUUACAUGUUUUCCUUUUUUACAACAAGUUAUUAUGUCAUAUUAGAUGUAUUUU